CCUUCCUCUAGAGGACUGCAGGUAUGGCUGCUGUGUCACAUGGACAUCAGUAGGUGUCAUAGAGGAGAGAAGCUAUGUCUAAACUUUGUAUUUUCAUUUUGAACAUCUGAUUGAUUAGUUGCCUAACACU
ensembl:snoRNA LOC120101334 small nucleolar RNA SNORA17